rnacentral:rRNA from 1 species
AUUGAACGCUGGCGGCAGGCCUAACACAUGCAAGUCGAGCGGAUGAUGGGAGCUUGCUCCUUGAUUCAGCGGCGGACGGGUGAGUAAUGCCUAGGAAUCUGCCUGGUAGUGGGGGACAACGUUUCGAAAGGAACGCUAAUACCGCAUACGUCCUACGGGGGAAAGCAGGGGACCUUCGGGCCUUGCGCUAUCAGAUGAGCCUAGGUCGGAUUAGCUAGUUGGUGGGGUAAUGGCUCACCAAGGCGACGAUCCGUAACUGGUCUGAGAGGAUGAUCAGUCACACUGGAACUGAGACACGGUCCAGACUCCUACGGGAGGCAGCAGUGGGGAAUAUUGGACAAUGGGCGAAAGCCUGAUCCAGCCAUGCCGCGUGUGUGAAGAAGGUCUUCGGAUUGUAAAGCACUUUAAGUUGGGAGGAAGGGCAGUAAGCUAAUACCUUGCUGUUUUGACGUUACCGACAGAAUAAGCACCGGCUAACUCUGUGCCAGCAGCCGCCGCGGUAA